AUGGAUCAAGAAGUGUUUUUAACAUUCUCGAUCAUGCAUAUUCCUGAGACUCAAAAUAUAAUGACGGAUAGUCUUGCACAUGGUGCUCAAAUCAUUUCUGGGACGUACAAUCAAAGCGGCGGCGGCGGUUGUGCGCCUAUUCCGUCGUACGAUGGUGAUGGAUACGGAGGAGGUGGAGGUGGAGGUUAUGGAGGUCGCAGUGCCUCUGGCGGAGGUGGAUACGGCGGACACGGUGGUUACAGUGGCGGCGGUAGAGGAAAUCAAGGCGGUGGUGGUGGUGGAUAUGGUGAUCGUGGUGGAAGAGGAGGCGUCAGCGGCGGGAGAGGUGGUGGUGGCAGAGAUGGUGGCGGCAGAGAUAGUGAUUGGCGUUGCCCUAUCAAUAGUUGUGGGAACGUGAACUUUGCAAGGAGAGUUGAAUAUAACAAGUGUGGUGCACCUGCCCCUUCUGGCACCGGUGACCGAGGAGCUGGCCGAGGUGCCAGUGAUCGUGGUGGCGGUGGUCGUGACAGUGGUAGGAGCUAUGAGAGUAGUAGAUAUGAUGGUGGCAGUAGGAGCGGUGGUGGUGGUAGCUCUAUGGGAGUAGAGGUAGUGGUUCUUAUGUUCAGGGUCCUCCACCUCCUUUGGCGGCUAUUCCAUCCUACGAUGGUUCUGGCAGUUACCCUCCUCCACCCAUGGGGUAUGGAAUGGAAGCAGUUCCCCCGCCUUCUAGCUAUGCUGGUGGUCGGUCCCCCUUCUUAUGGUGGUCCCACUGGGGGUUAUGGAGGUGAUGCACCGAGCACUGGUGGUAGAGGUGGUGGCUACGAUGGUGGUAGUGCUCCUCGACGCCAGGAACCUAGCUAUGAAGAUGCACCGCUGAAAAAGUCAAGCUGUGCGAUGAGAAUUGUGAUGAAACUUGUGAUAAUGCCAGAAUAUAUAUCAAUAAUUUACCUCCUGAUGUGACAACCGAUGAACUCAAGGAUCUCUUUGGUGGCAUUGGUCAAGUUGGAAGAAUCAAGCAGAAGCGGGGUUACAAGGAUCAGUGGCCAUAUAACAUCAAGAUUUACAUUGAUGAGAAGGGAAAGAACAAAGGUGACGCCUGCCUGACUUAUGAAGAUCCUAGCGCAGCACACUCGACAGGUGGCUUUUUCAACAGUAUGUACCAUGGUUGACUGUGCCGAAGCUCAAGAACUUUAAGCAGGUUCAAUGGCGAGAUUUUGACCAGUAGGUACAUGGAUCGCAGAUUUGACACGAGGUUAUCUUUGAGAAUGAAGGAAUAAAGAAUAAAAGUCUUAUGAAGAUCCUACAACCGCCAUAAGAAACCAAAGCACUCAGCGGAAAGCAUAAGAAAGAUCUAUAAUCGUAUGCUACAAGAAAAAUCAAAGUCAAUAUGAGUCCAGAGCCUUUAUACAGAACUGAUCAUUGCCAGUAUGAACAUCAUAUCUUCAUUGUCCAAUAAACAUAAUUUUCAAAUUAUACAAAAUUAAUCAUAGCUUUGGAAACUAAGUAGAAGCUCUGAAAUAAUCAAGAUAUGUAAAAAGAAUAAGUCCUAAAACAUCGAUAAUAGAACUUGGUGGAUUGGUUACUCUGCUUAAAGAUCUGAGAUGGUUUGAUUAAGAUUGUCCAUCGUUUACUUCAUUGUGUGAUAUGUGAAGGAUAUCUAAUAUGAGUUUGCAAAGAAGUAAGAAGAAAAUAAAACAUUAAGGAUUAUAAAAUGGUAAAAUAAAGAGGAAAUAAACACAAAUUUAUUACUUCAAUAUAUAUGUGAAUAAGUUUGAACCAAGUUGAGUUUAUUUAUUUUGCUACCAAAACAAAUUUGAACAAAGUAGUAAACAAUAAAUCUAUCAAAUUUUCAAAAUAAAUUAUUAAUUAUAUUUUUUAAAUAUCUAAAAUAUAAAAUUAAACAUCAAUAUAUAUAUAUAUAUAUAAUUAAAAUCAUAUAUUAAGGAUCUUUAAUAUAUCAUGCAUAUUAUAGUAUUUUUUUACAAAUGGUAAAGAAUACAUUCUAACAUCGUAUUCACAUAUCAUUCAAAUCAUAAGAAACCACAAUAAUUCUAUUAAGAAAAUACCCAAAAUGCACUCAUACUUUUUUUUUUAUCAGCGCACUCAUACAUCUUAUGGCCAAACUUACAAUCAAAUGUACAUUAUGUCUAGCCACUUACAAACACAUUCAUAUUAGAUAAAUUUAUAAAUAAAAUUUGUGUUUGCUUAUUUAAAUUUCAAAAUAGAUUUUAUUUAUUUAUUUAUUUUAAAGGUCUAUCCUAAUAUUAUUGAGAAAAUACACAUCACAGAAAACAUUUACCAAAAAAAAAACUAUAUACAAAAACAUAAUUCGUUAUAGGUUUGCUUUUCUAGAGGUACAAAUAAAAAAUAUAAACUGAAAGAAAAAAUACAAAAAAUGUUUUAAUCUUGAAAUAUCGCACAUGUAACUUUUUUACAUUUCCUCAUAUGAAAUGGCCAAUCAUUAAAUUUUUGACAAUUUCAAAGCAUAGAGUAAAAAUAAAUUAUCUUGAUAACAAUCACUAAUCCAAAGAUAUAUAAAGGUGAAUGGAAAAUAAAUUUCAUUAUCAUGUUUGAUUUUUUCUAAUUGAUUUUUUAAAACAAUACAAAAAUUAUUAUUCACCUCAGCAUUUGGAAUAAAAUAUUAUUCUUACUUUACCUAUGAUGAAGCUAAUAAAAACAUAUAUUAUAUAGAAGACUAAUGUCACAUUCAAAAAGCAACAAUAUAUACCUUAAAAAACUCAAAUCUAUAUACAUACAUUUGUUUUAUGGUUUAAGACAUUUUCUGAUUUAUUAAUUCUAAAUUCAUUAAAUUGUUUUAAAAAUAUACAAAAUCAAUAAAUAUUACAGGGAAACUAUUUUUGGUCUAUUAAUUGACCGGAAAUAAUAUCUAAAAGCAUUUUCCGCGCGUAGCGCGGACAGAAACUCUAGUUAAAGAUAAUAAUGUAAUAAACUACUGUAAGAGUUAAGGUGAAUGCGGUGACUAAAAAUACUGAUUUUUUAAACAAUAUUAUAAAGAUUUUCCUUUAAAACAUGCAAGUUGGGAACACGAAACCCAAACAAUCCUGAAACCAGGUGCGCUUAGCUGCACACUCUUCAAACCAGGAUCUAAACAAAAGAUCCAAUUACCCCUUAUCUAUCGUUGUUUAUAAGGAUAAAAUCGUCAUAUUCAGAUCCAGACGGUGGUAACGCAAAAAACCAGCAGCCACAUAUUCUGGUUUCACUCCCAACUUAACGGCGAUUGUUGUUGGCUUCUUCAUUUUAUAUAUAUCAUUCAAUUUCACUUCUCUGAAAUCAUCGAAAUCACAAAACACUGUAUUCGAAAUCCAAAAGAAGAUCGUAAAGUGAAAGUGAAGAAAAUAUGAGUUCUACAAGCAAAGCCUGGACGGUGGCAGUUAGCAUCGGAGUAGUAGAGACGUUGAAAGACCAGUUAGGUCUUUGUCGGUGGAACUACAUGUUCCGGUCGGUGAAUCAGCAUCUUCGGAACAAUGUCAGAACUGUUUCUCAGGGGAAAAGGUUCUCGUCUUCUGUUGCCGCCGCUAACUCGUCUGGUGAGAGUGAAAAGGCAAAGAAGUGUGAAGAAUCGCUUAGAACGGUUAUGUAUUUGAGCUGUUGGGGUCCUAAUUGAUUAGGACUUUAGUUUAUAAUGUAUAGUUUUGUAAUUUCUAAGAUGACUUGGAGAAAUGGAGUUUUAAUAUAAUUUUUGGUUCGAAAAAGAAAAAUGUCAAUGAAAUAUGAGAUGAGCCGAUCCAAUCCCCCAAACAAAAAGCAACAACAAAAAAUAAAUGUAUGAAAUUUGUAAGAAUACAGCUUAAAGCAAAGCUUUCAAGUAUUCGGAACAGAAAAAAUAAAUGUAUGAAAUUUGUAAGAAUAUCAGCUCCGUUUGUGUAAAUUAACUAAUUGAGAAAGUUGUAAUUUCUG